CAGCAGCCGCGGUAAUACGAAGGGUGCAAGCGUUAAUCGGAAUUACUGGCGUAAAGCGUGCGUAGGCGGUUUGUUAAGUCUGUUGUGAAAUCCCCGGGCUCAACCUGGGAAUGGCAAUGGAUACUGGCAAGCUAGAGUGUGUCAGAGGAUGGUGGAAUUCCCGGUGUAGCGGUGAAAUGCGUAGAGAUCGGGAGGAACAUCAGUGGCGAAGGCGGCCAUCUGGGACAACACUGACGCUGAGGCACGAAAGCGUGGGGAGCAAACAGGAUUAGAUACCCCGGUAGUCCCUGUCUCUUAUACC
rnacentral:rRNA from 1 species